UACGUAGGGGGCUAGCGUUGUCCGGAAUCAUUGGGCGUAAAGCGCGUGUAGGCGGUUCGGUAAGUCUGCUGUGAAAGUCCAGGGCUCAACCCUGGGAUGCCGGUGGAUACUGUCGGACUAGAGUACGGAAGAGGCGAGUGGAAUUCCCCGGUGUAGCGGUGAAAUGCGCAGAUAUCGGGAGGAACACCGGUGGCGAAGGCGGUUCUCUGGGCAUGAUCUGACGCUGAGGAGCGAAAGUGUGGGGAGCGAACAGG
rnacentral:rRNA from 1 species